rnacentral:rRNA from 1 species
GNAUUUAUUGGGCGUAAAGCGAGCGCAGGCGGUUAGAUAANUCUGAGGUUAAAGGCAGUGGCUCAACCAUNGUAGGCUUUGGAAACUGUUUAACUUGAGUGCAGAAGGGGAGAGUGGAAUUCCAUGUGUAGCGGUGAAAUGCGUGGAUAUAUGGAGGAACACCGGUGGCGGAAGCGGCUCUCUGGUCUGUAACUGACGCUGAGGCUCGAAAGCGUGGGGAGCGAACAGGAUUAGAUACCCUGGUAGUCCGCGCCGUAAACGAUGAGUGCUAGGUGUUAGGUCCUUUCCGGGACUUAGUGCCGCAGCUAACGCAUUAAGCACUCCGCCUGGGGAGUACGACCGCAAGGUUGAAACUCAAAGGAAUUGACGGGGGCCCGCACAAGCGGUGGAGCAUGUGGUUUAAUUCGAAGCAACGCGAAGAACCUUACCAGGUCUUGACAUCCCGAUGCCCGCUCUAGAGAUAGAGCUUUACUUCGGUACAUCGGUGACAGGUGGUGCAUGGUUGUCGUCAGCUCGUGUCGUGAGAUGUUGGNNUAANNNNCGCAACGAGCGCAACCCUUAUUGUUAGUUGCCAUCAUUCAGUUGGGCACUCUAGCGAGACUGCCGGUAAUAAACCGGAGGAAGGUGGGGAUGACGUCAAAUCAUCAUGCCCCUUAUGACCUGGGCUACACACGUGCUACAAUGGCUGGUACAACGAGUCGCAAGCCGGUGACGGCAAGCUAAUCUCUGAAAGCCAGUCUCAGUUCGGAUUGUAGGCUGCAACUCGCCUACAUGAAGUCGGAAUCGCUAGUAAUCGCGGAUCAGCACGCCGCGGUGAAUACGUUCCCGGGCCU